rnacentral:rRNA from 1 species
AUUGAACGCUGGCGGCAGGCCUAACACAUGCAAGUCGAACGGUAACAGGAAGAAGCUUGCUUCUUUGCUGACGAGUGGCGGACGGGUGAGUAAUGUCUGGGAAACUGCCUGAUGGAGGGGGAUAACUACUGGAAACGGUAGCUAAUACCGCAUAACGUCGCAAGACCAAAAAGGGGGACCUUCGGGCCUCUUGCCAUCGGGUGUGCCCAGAUGGGAUUAGCUAGUAGGUGGGGUAACGGCUCACCUAGGCGACGAUCCCUAGCUGGUCUGAGAGGAUGACCAGCCACACUGGAACUGAGACACGGUCCAGACUCCUACGGGAGGCAGCAGUGGGGAAUAUUGCACAAUGGGCGCAAGCCUGAUGCAGCCAUGCCGCGUGUAUGAAGAAGGCCUUCGGGUUGUAAAGUACUUUCAGCGGGGAGGAAGGGAGUAAAGUUAAUACCUUUGCUCAUUGACGUUACCCGCAGAAGAAGCACCGGCUAACUCCGUG